GACGAACGCUGGCGGCGUGCUUAACACAUGCAAGUCGAGCGGAGCGGCGAACGGGUGAGUAACGAGUGAGUAACUGCCCCCCUCUCUGGGAAAACAGUUGGAAACGGCUGCUAAUACCGGAUAGUGGGGGAUGACUCGCGUCCUAUCAGCUGGUUGGGGGGGUAGUGGCCUACCAGGGCGACGCCGGGUAGCCGGCCUGAGAGGGCGACCGGCCACAUUGGUCUGACAUACUGCCCAACCUCCUACGGGAGGCAGCAGUGGGGAAUAUUGCACGAUGUGGGAAACCCUGAUGCAGCACCGUCGCGUGCGGGAUGACGGCCUUCGGGUUGUAAACCGCUUUCAGCCAUGACGCGGUAGUGGCAGAAGAAGCACCGGCUAACUACGUGCCAGCAGCCGCGGUAAUAC
rnacentral:rRNA from 1 species